GACAGAGGGUGCAAACGUUGUUCGGAAUUACUGGGCGUAAAGCGCAUGUAGGCGGCCAAGCAGGUCGGAUGUGAAAGCCCUCGGCUCAACCAAGGAAGUGCAUUCGAAACCGCAUGGCUCGAGUCCCGGAGAGGAUGGUGGAAUUCUCGGUGUAGAGGUGAAAUUCGUAGAUAUCGAGAGGAACACCGGCGGCGAAGGCGGCCAUCUGGACGAGGACUGACGCUGAGAUGCGAAAGCGUGGGGAGCAAACAGG
rnacentral:rRNA from 1 species